rnacentral:lncRNA from 1 species
CCCAGCUAAUUUUUAUAUUUUUAGUAGAGACGGGGUUUUGCCAUGUUGGUCGGGCUAGCCUCUAACUCCUGACCUCAGGGGAUCUGCCUGCCUCGGCCUCCCAAAGUUCUGGGAUUACAGGCAUGAGCCACUGCGCCCAGCCCGGUCAGCAAUCUUCUUAAAGGUAGAAACCAUACUUUUCUUCUAUAAUACCAUUUUCAGGAGUGGCGCAAAAUAUGUUUUUAAGAAUUAUGCAAUUGAAUUGAAUUGAGCUACUUCCCGGAUUUAGAAUGACAAAUGCUUUCUCUCCAUCUGCUUAAGAAUGAACUGGCCUUCCCAUUUAGAGGCAAGCAUGCCCAACGCCCAAUGCUAGGCUUUCCCUGGAGAACACAGGACAGCUGAACGCUUGGGGAAGAAUUACUUCUGCUAUGGCACGGUUCUCUUGAGCAGAGAACUUUAAAGGGAUCAUUAUCUGCUUGUAAGGAAUGGAGGUCAGCAUGCCUGAAAACAGGAGUUGUGCAGAUAACCUUGCCAUAUUUAGAAUUCUAUGCCUGGAAACAGCGGAGAAGAUGCUGGUGGAUGUGGAUAUUAAAACCUCCCCCUGGGGGCUAAAAAGAGACAUCAGGAGAGGCUCAGGAUCAAACAAUAUCUCCAUAUGAGUAGGUCUCCUGGGAAGAAUUAAAGGCGGAACAAUGUUCCGUCUCCGGAGGGAUCUGUACUUGGAAAGAGAACUCAGAGAGCACGUGGUGGCCGGCCCCAUCUGCAGACCCAAAACUAGAGAGUCCACGUUUGCGAACCCAUCUGCACUUUCGACUUUCCCUGAUCACUACGUGUCUGGCUGCUCUCAGACUGCGAUGACAUCAUUUAAAAAAAAUAAUUAUUCCGGGUUGCACACUGCACCCAUGUGCUUACAGAGUCUACUCAACUCUUGGAUCUGGGCUCAGGCCUGACCAAUCAGAACAGUACAUUCCUGUGAUCUUAGUAAAGGUUGGAUAUCUAACCCAAUAAAAGCUUGCAAAAGGCGGAAAAACCUUUGCUGGAGCUGCUGGGAGAGAGGGAAAUGCUCUUUCUCGCUGGACUGGAAUUGGGGAUGAUGUGGAAGGAUGAAUGACUGCUAGAGCUGUUGCUGCCAUCUGCCUGCAUGGGAGAGCAUGUCUGACAACAAAACCAAUACCAAUACACAGGAAGUGAAGCCAAAGGCUGGAGAGAGACCAGCUCCAGGUGACAACAUUGGAGCCCCAGAAUCCGCCCAAAUCUUCUUUUAUUUAAGGAUUGGGUAUUCUUUCACUUGCAACUGAAAGAAGGGUAACCAAUAUCCACUGUCUGACAUAGCAGAAGAAACUGGCUCAGUAGGCAUCUCCUGCAGCCUCCAGCCCAGCUGUCUGGAUGUGAUGGUUUAGUAAAAGAACAGUAACUCCCUCAUAUUCCCCUCUCCCAUUUGAUCUGAUGGCCUGUGUCUACUAUACUUCACCAAAAGGAUAUGGUGCUGUGACAGAUGCAGAGGUAACUGAAACACAGCUCACAUUUUUCAUGGAGUUCUUGUAAGCAGGGGGGACACACCAUAGCCUAUUAUUUAAGGCAGAUUGAGAUGCAUGUCUUGGGAAAAGAACAAACAAGGUUUUUUUGAAGAUGCAAGGAAAGAAGAGCUCAUAUCUGAUUGGUGGGGACCAGUGGAUGCUUCAUGGAAAAGGGCUAUUUGGGAUGAGUCUUCAACGAUGAGAAUUUUAAUGGGCAGACAUGGGCAGGAGCCUUUGCAGGUAGAUGAAAUAGUGUGAUGAAGGUCAGGGAGGUGGGAAAGAUGAAGUGAACAUUGAAAAGUAGAGUUGGACUGGAAGACAGGGGACAUUUAGGGGAAUCACCAGCCUGCAAAGUAAGUUGGUGUCAUCUAGGAAGAUGCCUCUAAUGAGAAGCUUGUUCUUAGUCCAGUAGGUGAUGGGGAGUUAUUGAACAUUCUUGAGCAGGGAAGUGGCCUCAUUGGUGCUACUCUUGAGGGGCCUGAGAUGGAGGUGGGGAGAGAUCCAGUGUGGAAAAACCACUGAGGUGGGAUUGGGAGGUAACCUUGACUCAUCCACAGGAUGGGGAGAAAGCCAGGGAAGGAAAGGCAGGGAGUGAAAACAGGAAGUAGUUCUGGUUUCUCUUCAUUCAUACCUCAAGAAGUGAGGUUUCUAAAGCACAAAGUUCAAAAGUCACAAAAGGAAAGUUUGAUAUAUUUAAUUACAUAAGAAUUAAAAAUUUCUACAUGGCAAAGUGCUUUAAAUGAAGUGAAAAGACAAGGACAGAUUGGGGAAAACAUUUGCUACACAAAUGACAGAGGAUUAAUUUCCUAAAUACAUAAAGAGCUUUUAUACUGCAGAAAGAAAAAAUAACAGCUAAUGGAAAAAUGGUCAAAGGAUAUGAAUAGACAGUUCACAGGAAAAAAUGCAAAUGGUCAUUAAACAUAUGAAAAAAAUAAUAACUUAUAUAGAGCUUUAUGUUUGUUUAUACAUUUAAUUUUCACAAUAACUAUAUGAAAAAUGUUAUUCUUCUGAUAUCUUUUUACUGAUAAGGAACCAAAACCAUAGAGAAGUUAAGUGCAUUGCCCACAGUCACUCAACUAAUAAGCAGUUGGGUAGGGAUUUGAGCCCAGGGACCAGUUUGUUCUCUCAAGCACUUCCUGUUCACACUCAUCUAUUCUACAAGACAUCCAGGACAGGUGUGGUGACUCGUGCCUGUAAUCCCAGCACUUUGGGAGGCAAGGAUUGCUUGAGGCCAGUAGUUCAAGACUAGCUUGAGCAACAUAGGGAGAUCUUGUCUCUACAAAAAAUAAAAAAAAUUAGCUGGGUGUGGUGGUGCACGCCUGUAGUACCAGCUACUUAGGAAGCUGAAGCUGCAGUGAGCAGUGAUUGCGCUGCUGAACUCCAGCAUCAGUGACAAAAUGAAACUCUGACUCAAACAUAAAUCCAAAACAAAACAAAAAUCCCAAAGAAAGAAAGAAAAGGAUUAAAACUACACCAAAACACCAUUCUUUAUAAAAAUCACAUUGGCAAAAAGCAAAAUGUUUGGUGGAAGGUUGAUAAAACUGUUGAGGAAACCAAGACUCACAUAUUGUUGGUACAAGUGAACUGGAACACCAUUUUGUAGGGCAAUUUGGCAAUAUUUAUCAAGAUUUUAUUUUAUUUAUUCUAAGAGACGGG